AGUCGCGGUCGUUGUGUCUGCGAGAAGGUCAGCCCGAUCCGUAGCUCUAAUCCUGUUAAACUUUUACUAGAUCUGAGCGAUUUCGGGUUUUUUGGAUGGGAAAUGAGAAGCGUCCUGAAAAUAUUUCCUACUUAAAAAGGACAGAUCUACUCACCGGGUGAAAAACAGCUCCACACCCUUCAUCUGCCUACAAGUUAAGAAACAACUACCUAAGCCAUUUCACUAAAUAAAGUAGAAUCACUAAAGAAACAAAUGGGAAACGCCUGCAGAAUUUUAAAUCAAAAUAUUGUUGUUUUAAUGCCAACUUUGCCACUUGUUACCUAGUAAGAUCUAGUAGAAAUAUCAAUUUUUUUUCUUCCGUACGUCUUGACAACCUUACGUGUGUGUCAUACCCACAUAACCAUGUAUGGUUAUUUACAUGGGUUUAGAAAUAAUGAAUACAGAAAAACCUACCCACAACACACACAGAUGAUCUGUUACUUCUUUAAAAGAUUUAUUUUUAUUUUAUGUGUAUAUGCGUGUGCCUGUGUGUAUGUGUGUGCACCGUGUGUGCGUGUGCCUGCAGGAGCUCAAGAAGGAUUGGGGAGGUGUUGUUCCAAGCUGCCAUGUAGGUACUGGGAACUGAACCCAGGCCCUCUGCAAGAGCAAUUAAUUUUCUUAACCACUGGACCGUCUAGCCAGAUCAUUAUCCGUUAAUAGGUUCUCACACAAAGCUUAAGCCUGCCUCAUAGUAAGCCAAAUCCAAAGUACCAACUGAAGCUCGACACCAUUGUGCUUGUCAACAAACUUAAUUGAAUGGCUGUCCCCUGCUAAGCACUGUUGAUACUAUUCCAGUGUCUCUUGCAGAACUGACAGUAGGUAGACACAAAUGUAGGCCAGGUAGCAUAUAGUGAGUGUAAAAUUAAUUAUAUGGACAGUAGCGUAAUGUGUUAGAAACCUAUUCAGGUUCUAAGCAUCAUCAGGUGUAUGACUUUGAAUAAGUUACCCAAACUAGGAGUUUGCACUUUUUGUCUAAAUAAAAAUACUGGAAUACUAUCAUGUUUAUUUGUUGAUUGUGUAUGGCUAUAAUGGUAGAUGUGGGUAGAAGAAAAGGGGAUCUGUGACCUACAAAUGUCUAUAAUCUAGAUCUUGUUAGACAAGAACUCUCAGUAUGGUUCUUUAUUUGUAAAAUGUGAACAUUUACUCUGUUGGUCUCACAAAAUUGGUCAUAAGAAUCUAAUGGGAUAUAAUAUAAAGGUACUUCAUUAAUUUUUGCUUUAAUUUUUAAUAUUUAUUUUAUUAUCGUCUGUGAGUAUUUUGCCUCCUGUAUGUGUGUGUUCUACGUGUGUGCCUGGAGGUCAGAACAGGACAUUGAAUGCCUUGGGCCUGGAGUUACAGAUGCUUCUGAGCUACCAUGGGCAUGCUGGGUGGGAGCUGAACUUAGGUCUUCUGUGAGAGCAACAAGUGUUCCUUACUGCCGAGACAACUGUUCUCCCCUUCGUUAUAAUUUUCUUCUUUUUUACUGGACUAAAAAAAUUUUUUUAUAAAUGUAUAUGGAGGUGUUGUCUGCAUCAUGUCUGAUGUCAUCGAGGAAGGCCAGAAGAGGGCAUUGGAUCUACUGGAUCUGGAUUUACAGAUAUUGUUCGUACCUUGCUUACCUGAUGCCUGCUACCUCCUGAGGAUGAUUUCUGGGCAGCUAUAUGAGGAAACCAAGUCUUUAACAUCCCUUCCACCUGCAGCAAGAUCCUUGCUGUUCCAGAUGAGACGCUGUAUGUUGGUUACUAGAAACCCUGGGUCGAUGUCUGCAGCGG